AGAGCUACAAAUGAGCAACGGACAGCGACGUUGAAGAGAACUGUUCAACAUCGAGUGAGCAGAGCGUUGAAGAUUCUUCCUGGUGAUCUGCUGCCCAUCAUCAACAGUGUUGGGGACUUCUGUGUGCUUCUUCUCACUUCCUGCUAUAACAACCAUUCUCCAUUCCACAAAUAUAGCUGUUGUUUCUACUCAUUUGUCAAUUGUGUACAGCAAUCAUGUGCCAAGAGGGUGUGGGUUUUCAUUCAAACAACCACUAUACCAGCUGAUUUUACAAUUGAAUUGCUGCUCUUUAUGAAACGGGAGCCACAAAGUGAAAUCAGAUGGUGUAGUCGUGCUUGGUUACGUAAAUGUUUUUCAAAGUUAUGUAAAUGUUUUUUUAGCACGGUAGGCAAUUUGGUGACAACCUGGCUGGUGUGUCACUGACUAUCCAAUGUUAUCAAUCCAUAUAGCCUCCCUAUUAUAAUUGCACAUCUUCAUUACAAUUUCCAGAGGGCUUCUCUCAUAAGCUCCGCUAAGGAUAUCCCUCCUGGAAUAUGCACAUUCAUGUUUGUUAGUUCAGACUGUCAAUAAAUCUGCCAUCUUACAAGUUUAAUGCAGUUGACUGGCUUGAUAUUGCACAGGUUUUGCAUCCCUUAUGUAAGAGCCAUUUUCAUUGGUUUAUAUUUCGCAUCAAUUUGCACACACCGCAACACUCAUGGGAAUGUAAAAAUGUUUGUUGAUGGAGCUUGAUGGACACAUGUACUUGCAUGUUCAAUGGAAGAACAUUGUGAUCAAUAAGGGCCAUCAAAACACGGACAACAAGGAGUCUGUAAUUUCAACUGCCAGCUACGGAGCGGCGUAAGGUAGAAGAAAGCGCGUCAGGUAGUUAUAGGCAUAGACAGUUUUAAGUCUGUAUAGCAGCCCCUAAGUGGCCUUAAGUUGUAGUCUUGGCCAUUAUACAUAAACUGACUUUUUAAUCACACAUUGUGGUGCUAAUUGUGUGUUAUUGUUUGUUUAACCACCUACAUGUGGCUGCACCGAGUUUGCCAACCGUGGUUUCUGAUGUUGUAUUAUGGGGUAGAAUGGUGUAUAAUUGGCCUUGUGUAUAUCAGGUAGUAAUGCAGGUAGGCCUAUGAGUGUGACCAUUGACAUUGUCUUACAAUACAAAGUGUAGCACACAAUGAGGGUUAAGGAAAAUGUUCCGAUGACACAGGUUAUUACUGGAUAAGAGUCGGCUAAAUGACAAUGUUAUUAACGUAGACUAUUAAAUAUGCAAGCUGUCUUUUAAACACUCGAUGUCCAAUACUUUUCAUGUCUGGGAAUGUGUGAAAGGUGUUUGAAACUCGAUUAAGACGUCGUCAAUGACGAAAAUAGACUGAGCAAAUUUGAGUGUAAAAUUAAUGAUAGAGAAAUGUCCGAAUCCGUUCCAAAAACGGGCCAGUUCCGUAAAAUGAUACUUAGAAUGUAGCAUUUGUAUCAGAUCUGGAACGGAUCCGCAAAACGGAUGCGACUGUUACGCGGAUCUGCCGGAACUCAGCCAGAUCCGUCGCGGAAUCAGCUGCUAUCUGGGGAUUAAUGGUGUCAUUGUCACAUAAAUAUUCGUUUAUCAGGUAUCAUGAUGUCGCGUAUUUGAAGGUUACCGCGAGUAACGUAAGGCUGAUCAGUACGUUAGCUCUAACGUUGACACCCAGGUCGCUAGCUCUAGCUUGUUCAUUCGCUCGUGCAAUUGCGUUUAGCCGUUAGCUCCGAGGUUAUAACUGUCAGAUUAGCACAGGGAACCUGACCUUACCAAAUGGUUAUAGUAAGAAAAAUCUGAUUAAUAACUAAAUCUUUCACAUCCCCAUCAACGAUUAAAUACUUUACAUUUAGCUACAUGUACAACUACAUACUAGUACACCAGUGUAGUCUCACCUGAUUGUUGGUCUUGGUCAGCUACUGUACCGUACCGUACAAACCUAGCUCUAGCUAGCUCUAUAUCUAACGCUAAAACUAAUUUAACUACAAUAUACAGCAAAAUAUCUACAAUAAAUUACACUAAAAACUAAUCGAAAACGAAGGAUUAAACUACAUAUAAUAUUAAACUAUUCUUACGCUAAAAAAUACAAAAAGCUAAUCUAUACACUAUCUAACGCUAAUAACAACUAUCAAAAACGAUUAGGCUAUGCUACUCUAUAUAAAUAACGACUGUAAUAAAACUUAUAUAAAUACUAGCUAAACUCCAACUUUUAUUUCUAGGUCAAUACUGUACGUCUUGUUUCUCUGUAAUCCACCAACAACUGCGAAGAAUAACGUUAGCAGAAUUUGAAUGUUGUUGAACUAUCCACGAGACGUUCCGACCAUAGGCAGGUGCCGACCCGCAAGCUCAGUCUCUGGCUCUAUUCAGACAGCUUGGUGUAUUGCGUUUCUGUAACCAAUAUACAGACUUUUGUCCCAUACGUGUUGUAUAAUCCAGUACUGUGUUAGUAGUACUGGGAACAUGUUACAAACUUGUACAAGUAUGUUUUUCACUCAUGGACUGUUGAUGUAACUGACAUGCAUUCUGUCAAAGUAACUUUGUGACCAAUCAUAUUUAAUAUAUAGAUGUUGAUCUACUUGAUACUACUGUAAAACGAAUAUUACCCUCAUAGAACCUAUCUUUGUCUCCAGUUUCAAUUUCCCCGGUGUCCACAUUUCUGAAAACGUCUCCUGGUCCCUUAAACCUCAGUGCAAGAAAGGUGAAACAUUGGAUCACGAAGGAAGAGCUGCAUCUCCUGAAAUGUAACUCCAAGAACACUCACCUCGUGAGGCCAUUUACCACUUUCAAAAAGAACGUCACACCAGACUGCCUACCGCUCCUCUGUUGUCCAACCACGCCACAGCCUCGACAGUUCCACGUCUGCCAUCUUCGCCUUUCCCUCAUCAGCUGUCAGUAGUGCCUCCACAACCUUUAAUACCUUUACUUUUGCCAGUCCACUGAUUGUAGCCAGAAUAUUGAUUGUAGCCGAACAUAGUGUAGUUGGGUUUGGUAUGAACAAAAAUACUGCUUCAUCAUUACUAUAAUGUUCCUCCAGGUUUAUUGACACACAAGGACUCAGACAUAUUGAUAAUUGAGCUUCCAGCUUGAAGUUACUGUCUGAAUAUAAAUAGACUAAUCAUACUCAAUAAAUGUAAUUCUCAGAAUAAUAAUACCAUAAUGCGCCAUAGUAAAACAAUGAAACUGAUGACAGUUUUUAAUCUGUGACUUGAUAGGUAAUAUGGUUAUGUUCUCUUACCCUUGAUGCCACCAAUGUUUUAGAUGGUAGGCUAUUCCACAGUUAUUUAAAGGUAACAAUGCAGGCUAUUAUCCAUUUAAGCUGUAAUGUGCUUGUAUAUA